UACAGAGGGUGCAAGCGUUAAUCGGAAUUACUUGGCGUAAAGCGCGCGUAGGUGGUUUGUUAAGUUGGAUGUGAAAUCCCGAGGCUCAACCUCGGAACUGCGUCUGAAACUACUCGACUAGAGUACUGGAGAGGGUAACGGAAUUCACGGUGUAGCAGUGAAAUGCGUAGAUAUCGUGAGGAACACCAGAGGCGAAGGCGGUUACCUGGACAGUUACUGACGCUCAGGCACGAAAGCAUGGGGAGCAAAAGGG
rnacentral:rRNA from 1 species